rnacentral:snRNA from 1 species
AUCGCUUCUCAGCCUUUUGGCUAAGAUCAAGCAUAGUGUCUCUUCUUAUCAGUUUAAUAUCUGAUACAUCCUUUAUCCAAGGACAAUAUAUUAAAUAUAUUUUUGAAGUCAGGAGAUGGAAUAGGAGCUUGCUCCAAAAAAAAAAAAAAAAUCUGUCAAGGUCCUUUUCCUUUUCCUCACU